rnacentral:rRNA from 1 species
CCUACGGGCGGCUGCAGUGAGGAAUAUUGGUCAAUGGGCGGAAGCCUGAACCAGCCAAGUAGCGUGCAGGAUGACGGCCCUACGGGUUGUAAACUGCUUUUAUCCGGGAAUAACGCGCCUUACGCGUAGGGCUUUGCAUGUACCCUAUGAAUAAGGACCGGCUAAUUCCGUGCCAGCAGCCGCGGUAAUACGGAAGGUCCGGGCGUUAUCCGGAUUUAUUGGGUUUAAAGGGUGCGUAGGCCGCAUGUCAAGCGUGCUGUGAAAUGUCCGGGCUCAACCCGGGCCUUGCAGCGCGAACUGGCGUGCUAGAGUCCGCGGAAAGCAGGCGGAAUUCGUGGUGUAGCGGUGAAAUGCUUAGAUGUGACGAAGAACCCCGAUUGCGAAGGCAGCUUGCUGCAGCGGAACUGACGCUGAUGCUCGAAAGCGCGGGUAUCGAACAGGAUUAGAUACCCGAGUAGUC